CGGGGGGGGGCAAGCGUUGUUCGGAAUUACUGGGCGUAAAGGGCUUGUAGGCGGCCAACUAAGUCCGACGUGAAAUCCCCAGGCUUAACCUGGGAACUGCGUCGGAUACUGGAUGGCUUGAAUCCGGGAGAGGGAUGCGGAAUUCCAGGUGUAGCGGUGAAAUGCGUAGAUAUCUGGAGGAACACCGGUGGCGAAGGCGGCAUCCUGGACCGGCAUUGACGCUGAAAAGCGAAAGCCAGGGGAGCAAACGGGAUUAGAUACCCCGGUAGUCCUGGCCCUAAACGAUGAAUGUUUGGUGUGGCGGGUAUCGAUCCCUGCCGUGCCGAAGCUAACGCAUUAAACAUUCCGCCUGGGGAGUACGGUCGCAAGGCUG
rnacentral:rRNA from 1 species